rnacentral:rRNA from 1 species
AUGGCCCCGUCGGCGCCGAAGAAGAAGCGCAAGGUGAACCUCCGGGAGAACAAGGAGGUCACGGCCAGGAUCUUCGAGAAGCACCGCUCCAUGGCGGCGCAGCAGCCGGGCGGCCUCCCGGACCACCAGGCGCGCGCGCUCUCCGCCGCCUACACCGGCGUCUGCGCCGCCAAGGAGCCCGUCCGGACCCCCGGCGACCUGGCCCGUCUCAAGGGAGUUGGAGGUUGGGUUGUUGAUGUUAUGGAAGACUCCUUUCCAGGGUCCAGCCUUGAUUUGUCUCCUCCGACAAGUAAUACACCAGGAGAAAUGGGGAAGAAGAACACACGAAACAAACCUUAUGUGCCACGGUUGAAAUCAGCUGCUUAUGCAAUAAUGAUCACACUCUACAGGGAAAUGGAAAGAGGGAAGGAAUUUAUGAUGAGGCAAGAGCUUAUUGAUGCUGCUGAGGCCAGUGGUCUGUCAGAACAUGCAAUAGGCCCAAACAACAGUAGGAAUUCUCGGAAUGAAGGUUACAGUUAUACUGGAUGGAAUAGCAUGAAGACGUUAACAAAUAAGGAUCUGGUUAAGAAAAAGAGUAAUCCUCCAAAGUAUUACCUAACAGAAAAAGGCAAAGAGACAGCUCGCGAUUGUCUCGCACGAUCUGGAUUGGAUGGUCCUGCAGGACCUUUAACGGCAGCCGGUCAUUCUGCAGUUGUGCUCAGCGAUUCAGAUUCUGAUGAACAUGACAGCAGCAGUCCCCUGAUAGGUUCUGAAAGAAGUGGACUUCCAAACUCAAAAGCAGGCAGUUCCAGUUCCUUUGACCCCGUUCCAGAAGAAAAGUUGUUGAUAAUAUACGCUCGCAUUUUAAUAUUCCUCGUAGAGAUUAAACAAUUGCCUGUUGGAGACGCUCUUUGGAUUGCUCGCCAUAAAGAACUUGACACGGAGUAUGUUCUUGAUUUCAUUGUUAAAAGGAAAAAUGUGGAUGAUUUACUUGGGUCGACUAAAGACAACAGAUACAAAGAUCAAAAACUAAGACUGAAGAAAUGUGGGCUAACGAAGUUAAUAUAUCUAGUUGAAGGGGAUGUAAACACUGUAGAUGGAUCAGAGAGUGUUAAAACAGCCUGCUUCACUAUUGAGGUUCUUGAAGGAUUUGAUGUCCAGAGAACCACUGGGUAUGCUAACACUGAAAAGAAAUACGGCCACCUCACAGGCUCUAUAAUUGAUUACUACAGCAGAAACUUCUCUGCUGGUGCUGAUACCUCUCGACUUUGCCUGACCUACGACGAGUUUGUGAAGAGGUGUUCUGACCUUGAGAAGGUGCCACAAGUGACAGAAGAAGCUGCUCUUGCUGUCACGAGUCUCUACCCCACUCUUCUCUCGCUUGCUAAGGCGUACACCUUGCUUGAUGGCGAUAGGCGUGCCCAGGAGGAGAUGUUGAAGAACAAGAGCGACAUGGUCAACACGGGGGCUAGCAAGAACAUCUUCAAGCUCAUCUGGGCGGAAGGAUGA